GGAAGAUAGAGCGUUGAGUUUGUGCUGCGCACCUGCCUUCGGGUGGGGCGACAGCAAAACCAGCCGGUCCGAACCACGGCGCGAGCCGCGGGGAGGUCGACUGGAUGGAUAUGUAAGAACACUGAUUCUAGGGAGACCCGCAAGGGUCACCCCGAGCAUCAGGUUCAAAUUCUUUACAUGGAGAGUUUGAUCCUGGCUCAGAGCGAACGUUAGCGGCGGGCUUAACACAUGCAAGUCGAGCGAGAAAGGGGCUUCGGCCCUGAGUACAGCGGCGGACGGGUGAAUAACACGUAGGUAACCUUCCUUUCAGCGGGGGACAACGGUCCGAAAGGACCGCUAAUACCGCAUACGUUCCCUGGGACCUCGGUCCUGGGGAGGAAAGGCCCGCAAGGGCCACUGGAUGAGGGGGCCUGCGUAGCAUCAGCUAGUUGGUGGGGUAAUGGCCUACCAAGGCGAAGACGCUUAGCUGGUCUGAGAGGAUGAUCAGCCACACUGGGACUGAGACACGGCCCAGACUCCUACGGGAGGCAGCAGG
rnacentral:rRNA from 1 species